rnacentral:rRNA from 1 species
AUGGGACGGAAAGCGAGCCGCCUGCGGCGACGCCGCCAGCCGCCGGCCGGCAUCAGCCCCACCACGUCGCCGUCGCCUUCGCCUGCAUCCUCCUCAAGAGAGUUUGCCAUCAUGCAAAGCCCGAGCAAAUUGCCUGACCCAUCUGUCUCUACUCCCCCAGGAGUGUUGGGGCACCAAGGUUGGGCUGACCUCCCAGAUAAACUGCUUCACUCCAUUGUUCCUCUGUUGGGAUCUUUCCUCGACCUUAUAGCGUUUGCUAGCACCUGUGGUUCUUGGCGUGCUGCCUUCUCUUCGUACCCAUCCAAAUCGACCAUCUGCACCAAACUCCCACCUUUCCUCGUCCGACCCAAUCUCUGUGUCGAUGCCCCUCAUCUCCCUUCCAGCAAUGGUCGUCACAAGCUACGCACAUGUAAGGUCAUUGAUCUGGCCAACCAGAACAGAGCCCUCCGCUGCCAGAUUCCUCAAGAAACUUUUCAGAGGAUGCGUUUUGCUGGCUCUUCCUAUGGGCAUCUCAUCUGCUGCCGCCGAGGAAAUUGCCUUGUUGUUGAUGUGUUCACUGGUGCCGAGGUUUCACUUCCAUCUCUCCCAUUCAGUGGUGACUGUGAGCAGGAGUUCUACUUUGGCGGCACUCUGACAGCUUCCCUUGCAUCACCCAACUGCCAUCUCCUUGUCAGCACACGAUCCUCCCUGUUUGAUUGGCCGGUUGGAAGUGACUCUCGGUCUGAACUCAAGCUUUCUGAUGCACGGGUAGAUCAGAUUGUGGAGUUCAAUGGUCAGUUCAUCGCCAUGGAUUAUUCUCAGAGGAUCUACAUUCUGAAGUUAGCCCCCCAGCUUGGCCUGCAGGAGAUAACAACCGAGUGGUGGGAUGACAUGACUGAAUGCCCAUAUCUAAGACCAUGGCUGGUGGUCUGCGGUGAUAUGCUUCUCAUGGUUGACCAUUACAUGAGCUUAUCAUUUGGAGCACCAGUCUUGUAUAAACCCUACCACCUUGAUAUGUCGACCAGACCUGCAAAAUGGGUGGAGGUGAAGAAGCUAGACAAUUGGGCACUCUUUGUAGGGGGUGAUGUGAGGAGCCCGCCGUUUUCUUGCUUGACCCCAGAGAAGUGGGGAGGGAGGAGCAACUGCCUGUACUACGCCCAUUACUCUCAGCCUUGGAGCGUACAUGGAUUAGGUGACGCGGCAGAUGCUGUGUGGGAUCCUUCCACCGACCCUGAUCUUGUGUACAAGAGAAACUGGUACGGCCAGCUGCAGGCCUUCUGGGUAUAUCCAAGCAUGUUCUAUUCCGAUGCUCCAGUAGUGACGGGGCACCAAGACUGGGCUGACCUCCCAGAUAAUCUGCUUCACUCCAUUGUUCCUCUGUUGGGAUCCUUUCUCGACCUUAUUGCGUUUGCUAGCACCUGUCGUUCUUGGCGUGCCGCCUUCUCUUCAUACCCAUCCAAGUCGACAUUCUGCACCAAACUCCCGCCUCUCCUCGUCCGGCCCAAUGUCCGUGUCCAAGCCCCUCAUCUACCUUCUAGCAAUGGUCGUCACAAGCUACGCACAUGUUUCACCUCCAUGUCUCCCCUUGCAUCACCCAACUGCCAUCUCCUUGUCAGCACCCGAUCCUCCCUGUUUGAUUGGCCGGUUGGAAGCGACUCUUGGUCUGAAAUCAAGCUUUCUGAUGCACGGAUAGAUCAGAUUGUGGAAUUCAAUGGCCAGUUCAUUGCCAUGGAUUAUUCUCAGAGGAUCUACUUUCUGAAGUUAGCCCCCCAGCUUGGCCUGCAGGAGAUAACUACCAAGUGGUGGGACGGCAUGACUGAGUGCCCAUAUCUAAGACCAUGGCUGGUGGUUUGCGGUGAUAUGCUUCUCAUGGUUGACCAUUAUGUGAGCCUAUCAUUUGGAGCACCAGUCUUGUAUAAACCCUACCGCCUUGAUAUGUCGACAAGACCUGCAAAAUGGGUGGAGGUGAAGAAGCUGGACAACUCGGCACUCUUUGUAGGGGGUGAUGUGAGGAGCCCGCCGUUUUCUUGCUUGAGCCCAGAGAAGUGGGGAGGGACGAGCAACCGCCUGUACUACGCCCAUUACUCUCAGCCUUGGAGCGUACAUGGCUUUGGUGAUGCGGCAGAUGCUGCGUGGGAUCCUUCCACCGACCCUGAUCUUGUGUACAAGAGAAACUGGUACGGCCAGCUUCAGGCCUUCUGGGUGUACCCAAGCAUGUUCUAUUCCGAUGGCCAGUGA